AUAGGGUGUAUAUAGUAAGUAGU
rnacentral:misc_RNA from 1 species